AUUCCCCAUCUGUUUCCUUCCUUCCCUCCCUUUUUGGCGUCACAAUCGGAUCACAUCCUUCAAUUUUUCCAUCCAAGCAAAAUGAUCAAACAAAUUCUUAAACCGAUUCAUUUUAAGCUCCAAAUACAUACGUUUGCUGCUUUUUUUGAUUUUGUGUCGCCAAGACGGGAUUCCUUAGCUGUAUUGGUACAUGCCAUGAUUUUUGCCCUUAAUUACUGGUUCCGAGGUUGAGUCUCAAAGACGCAGCCAUGGGAGAAUAGUUCUCAAGAAGGCAUUUGCAAGCGGAUUUUUGGAAAUUUUUAAUUGAAGCAGGUUUUUCUCGGACGUAUCGGAUGAGGCCGGUGCAUGUGAGACAGAAGAGCUCCGGGGGCAAUCCGGCGACUCCAUCAUCGCCGAUGAUGUCGCCCUUGCGUGGCCACAUGCGCUCCGGAUCGACCGGUGUUGGCAACAUGAGAAAAGCGCAGACCAAGGCUGCUGCGCAGAGGCUGGCGCAGGUGAUGUCGCAUCAGGCACCAGAUGAGGGUGACGAGGAUGACGACCUUUUGUUAAACUACACCUCCAGUGCGCCAGGAGGAAUGGGGCUUGCGGGAGGAAGGCCAGUGCGGUCACGCUCUCCUAUGACCAAACCUACAGCACAAAGGCCAGUGAAGGUAAUGGGACACCAGCAGCCUGAUGAGGAGAAUGAUAAGAAUGACAGACCAGCAAGUGGCAGAGGGAGCAUUAGUCAUGUUAGUGGCAGCAUGAUGCAGUCACGCUCAACCAUGACCAAACCUGCUGUUGCUCAUAGACAUGCACAAGUGAUGACACACCAAUGGGCAGAUGAAGAUGAUGAUGAAGAUGGCAUCUCUCUUGAUUAUAGUUUGGUGAGUGGCCUAGGUAGCAUUGGGCGUGCAAGAGGAAGGGCGGUGCAAUCACGUUCUCCUAUGAUGAAAAAUGCUAAUCAGACGCCUGUAAAAUUGAUGGCACAACAACGUGGUGACGAGGAAAGUGAUGAGAGCAAUAUUUCUCAUUAUAAUAGCUUGGGAAUUGCAUCAGUGAGUGUUGGACGUCCUGGUGGAAGGGCCAUGCAGUCAUACUCUUCUAUGUCUAAAGGUGCUUCUCAGAGGCCUGCACAAGCAAACCAACUGGAGGGUGAGGAUGAGGUUGAGGACAAGCUUCUGGACGACUAUAGCUUACCAGGUGGCAUGGCAAGUGCUGGGUACAACAGUGAAGCGUCUAUGCGGUCACAACCUUCUAUGUCAGUUCGUACCCAGCAAGAACAAGCCCUGCCCACACAGUCAGCAUCUGGUGCUCGAUCAUCUCUCUACAUAAACUCUGUGGAACAACCAUCAUCAGCUCUUUCAGCGUCAGCUAAUCGAACGAAUCAAACGAUCAACUCUGCAGAGCAACCUCUAUCUGCUCGUUCUAUAAUGGCUGGUCGAUCAUCUCAUCCCAAUAAUUCAAUUGAGCAACCUCCAUCCGCUCGAUCUUCAUCAGGCAGUCGUACGUGUACAGGUGUGAAGACAGUUCCCAUUGUACCUUCUAGUGUACCUAUAACCCUGAGGCCAACCACUUCUGGAAUCCCAUCGGAGUCAUCUGCUGAUAACCGGAGAGAUAAAAGGUUGUCAAUCGAUUUUGGGAGUAUGGCCAACUCAAGAGAAGCUGGGAACCACCAUUCUACUUCUGCUCUCCAAGAUGAGCUUGACAUGAUUCAGGAAGAAAAUGAAAAUUUACUUGAAAAGCUUCGACUUGCAGAGGAGAGGUUUGAGGAAUCAGAGGCAAGAGCUCAGCAGCUUGAGAAACAGAUUUCCACUCUUGGGGAAGGUGUAACUUUGGAGGCCCGUCUCCUUAGCAGGAAGGAGGCAGUGCUGCAGCAACGGGAGGCAGCUUUGAGGGUUGCGGCACAAACUCAUGGUGGUAAUCCGGGAGAGAUUGAUUCCCUUCGGACAGAAGCUGAGAUUGCUAGGGAAGAGGCAACCUCUGCUUUGGACCAGCUUCAUGAAGCUGAGGGUGAAGUUAAGUCACUGCGAACCAUGACACAGAGAUUGAUAUUGACUCAAGAAGAGAUGGAAGAAGUUGUUCUAAAAAGGUGUUGGCUUGCUCGCUAUUGGAGCUUAUGUGUUCGACAUGGUAUUCUUUCAGAGAUUGCUGGAGCAAGAUUUGAGUAUUGGUCAUCACUUGCACCUCUUCCUCUUGAAGUUGUACUGGCUGCUGGACAGAAAGCCAAAGAUGAGACCUCAUCUCUGAAUAAUAAUGAAGAGGAAAGAGAGAAAUGUAUACGAGACUUGACCGAACUUUCUACGGAUGGAAACGUUGAGAGCAUGGUUUUAGUUGAGAGAGGUUUACGUGAACUGGCUUCAUUAAAGGUAGAGGAUGCACUAGUCCUUGCCAUGGCACAAAAUCGCCGUCCAAGUUCUCUGAAAUCUACUUCCUCAGAUGAAGUGAAACUACCAACCGAGGGGCAAUAUGAAGCAUUUGAAUUGAGCCAAGAUGAGUCAGAAGAUGUGUGUUUUAAACAGAUCUGGACAGCAAGCAGAUACAUUCUGAAAUGGCCUCUUAGUCUUUUUGCAAAACUGUGGCGGCUUGGCUUAUGUAUUUCUGGAGAAGAGCAAAAAACCAUGGGGUGGAAUUGGAUGUAGCAGAAGAGCGUUUGCAAUUCUGGAUCAACCACAGUUCUCGAUCUUCCACCUCACAUGAUGCAGUUGAUGUUGAGCGGGGCCUUGUGGAGCUGAGGAAGCUCGGCAUUGAGAACCAGCUAUGGCGAGAAUCUCGCAAGGGUCUUGAGCAAGACCCCAAAGCACCAACAGAAUCCGACUUCUGAUUUUCUUUGGUGUCUUUUCAGAGUUCUGUUCCCCUGGCUGGCAUUGUGACUCAUCUAUAUCAAUAUCACCACUAUCCUACCUCAUUAACUGUUACUGGAAGAUUUUGCACGCAGAGUUACCUGAAGAAUUGUUGUUCCCCUGGCUGGCAUUGUGACUCAUCUAUAUCAAUAUCACCACUAUCCUACCUCAUUAACUGUUACUGGAAGAUUUUGCACGCAGAGUUACCUGAAGAAUUGUUGUUCAUAUACAUUUUUCAACUAAAGCUUAGAUAAUGAAUAAUGUUACUGAUUUUUAUUUUUAA